rnacentral:lncRNA from 1 species
GAAUCUCUAAAUAUCCAACUCAUAUAUCACAUUCAAACCACAAAUCAAAGCAUCCUAAUAGGAUAGGGAUCAAAUAAUGUAGUAAGAACCAACUAAUUAUUCAAAAUAUGGACUUUCAAGUUUCUAGAUAUGAAUCCAUGAUACAACAAAAAAUGCAUGAGUAUAUUUAAUAAAUAAUGGAAAUCCUUAAAUUCUUCAUUCAAAUCCAAUAGAAUAAGUCCAAAGAUUUUAUUCAAGCUAAUCCC